AAUGAGUUCAUCUCAAUCUCUAGGUUUGUCUUCUUCAACACAGCAUGAUGUUGAUUUUGUGAAUAAUGGUCCAUUUAGAGUCAAAUAGAACAUCAAGCAGGGAAAUGCUUUGUGAUUGACAGGUAUGUUGCUGCUUCCACAGCUGUAUACGGCACCUCCACAUCACUCCUCCGCCAGAUGUGGGAACUUCCAUUCACUGGUUUAAAAAUGAAUAAUGGUGUCGGUCGGAACCCGACGGGGCGAAGCUUCGUAACAACAGUCCACACGUUUAUGGUGGUUACACAUCCAGCAGACACAAGGGACACAAACGAUCAUUUCUAGUCUUGUUACUUUUUAAUCUCCGCCAGGUUCCUUCUGUGGGGAGAUCACGUGUUUUGUUGUGUUUGUGUGUGAGUGUGUGUGAGCAUCUGUUUGUCCGUCCGUGGAUAAUUUACAACUACUGGAGCCAUCAGUCCGCCAGUUGUAGUUGCUCACACAGGUAUUUUCCCCACAGUUUUGUAGCAUCACUGCUUCUCUUGCACAAAUGUUGUGGUAACUUUACCUCCUCCGAUUCGGGUUAAACUAUGCCUUUUGUCGCGGCUCAAAAGCCCAGCUCAGGAUAACAGGUUGAAAGACGCCGAGGCGGUCUGAGGAGAGUCAUUUUCUACCACCGUUAACAAAAGAAUACGGAGCACACUGCAGCUUUAAGACGAAGGUAUGAACCCUGUUCAAUGGGCACUUUGACCCCGCCUCGGCCCCCAUUUGGACUACUCCAACUGUACGACCACAGCCCUGGUUUGAAGGACCGUGGCGGGCCAAGGAGAAGCUCUGCUCAGCCAACAAAAGCAAUCAAACUCACACCUGACUCUGGCUCUGUCGCUAACUGGCAUCCAUCACGCCAUAUGGCACACGGAGCGCGGCAGAUACGGAAAAAUCCCACAUUCUAAUCCAAUCAAAACACGAUUACGACAAAAGCGCACAAUGUGCACUUGUCCUUCAGCUCCCCCUUCAGUGUUGAUCCAGCAAGCAGAGAAGGUGUGGUUCCCCUGCAUGGAGGCUGGGGGGGGGGGGCUAAAUGGUAAAUGGCCUGUACUUGUAUAGCGCUUUUCUAGUCUUCUGACCACUCAAAGCGCUUUAACACUACAUGACAUCAUUCACCCAUUCACACCCAUUCACACACUGAUGACAGGAGAACCACACACAGUGACACCUGCCAUCAGUAACUACCAUUCACACACUGAUGACAGGAGAACCACACACAGUGACACCUGCCAUCAGUAACUACCAUCCACACACUGUAGUCACAGCUACAGGAGCAAUGUUGGGUUAAGUGUCUUGCCCAAGGACACAACGACAUGCGGGUUAGCAGAUCCUGGGAUCGAACCGACAACCCAUUUCAGUCUGAUGCUAAAUCUUGUGCAUUCUUUCGCUGGCUGGUGUAAAUUGUUUUCAUUUUUAGCCAGCCUCCAGCCUGCAUGCAGGGGGAGUGUGGUUACCCUGUAUAGAGGCUGGGGGGAGUGUGGUUACCCUGCAUGGAGGCUGGGGGGGAGUGUGGUUACCCUGUAUGGAGGCUGGGGAUGUGUGGUUACCCUGUAGAGAGGCUGGGGUGUGUGUGGUUACCCUGUAUGGAGGCUGGGGCGUGCGUACGCGACACACACACAUGGGAGAUUGAUGCUUUUAGCUUUUUGUCAUCACCUGCUUCAAAGCAGUAAAAAAGAAAGCAUGAGACAACUAGAGCAACCCAACAAAAGACAGGGGGGGAUCUGCUUUGGAGGAAUGUCUAAGGGGUUCUGUUGGGGGGG
ensembl:lncRNA